GUAUAUUUAACUUUAUAGGUACAAAAGCACCUGGAUUCAACAUUCUAAACGCAUUCAAGAGUUUGUGAAAAUGACAUAGGCCUGGAAAUGAAAAGGGAAAGCCGACUCUGAUUUACAAAGCACAGCAGUCCCAACUCGAAAUGAAUCAACCAGGUCUACAAUAUGUGCACAGUUGGAGAGAUAAAGAUGACAAGCGUGCACAUACCCUCCCGAAAGAAGGCCAGCAACAGCCUGUGCAAGUUUAUUCAAUAAUGAUCCUUCCGCAGGUUCACCUACGGAAA
rnacentral:misc_RNA from 1 species